rnacentral:rRNA from 1 species
UGGGAACCUUCCCAGUGGUACGGAAUAGCCCAGGGAAACUUGGGGUAAUACCGUAUACGCCCUUCGGGGGAAAGGAUUUAUCGCCAUUGGAUGGGCCCGCGUAGGAUUAGCUAGUUGGUGAGGUAAUGGCUCACCAAGGCGACGAUCCUUAGCUGGUCUGAGAGGAUGAUCAGCCACACUGGGACUGAGACACGGCCCAGACUCCGUACGGGAGGCAG